CUCACACCUCCCACAGCUGCUCAGGUAGAAGUAUAAUAAGAGCAGCGUUGUAUAUAAGGAGGGAACUGAACUCUGCCCAUUAGAAUAAAGAGUGUGGACUCGGCUCCGUGUUUCUGUCUUAAAGCAGGACACAGCAGGUAGGUAAAAACCUACAGAAUCAAGUCUGAGGAGGUGUCGAAGUCCUGGUCCGCUGUAAACGCCUUCGUGUUGACUGCUGAUGCCUCUCCCGCUGAGCAGCUGCAGCAGACGUUAGUUAAUGAUGGCGGAGAGUAACGGCGGCGAGAAGAGGAGGCAGCUGCUCCACAGACUUCCUCAAGUCCAAUUACCAUGAUGACUUACUUGGCGCUGGCUUAAUGCCGCCUGCUGGCUGCUUAUAACCUGACUGGAGGUGUCGAUCGCCUGCAUCCCUUUAUUUCCUCUCUGCUUUUAUUUUCUACUCUCUGCUUUUCCAGACUCAAAAAUGUCCUCACUUCCCCUCAUAUUUCUCUUUCUGAUUCUCAUCAUCGUACAUCAUCUACCCCUGAUGUGCUGCUGUGUCUCUGUUCCAUCUUCAGCUCCUUCAGACGCAGGCCACACAAUUAAUAAACUAUAAUUACCUUAAGCUUGUUAUUUAGGUUGUUAACACGCAUUUAUUAAAACCAAAUAAUAAAAAAUUGAAAAAUAUAAA